rnacentral:lncRNA from 1 species
GCUGAUUUCUCCCAAGUCCGAGUAGUAAAUUCGUAGGCACGAGGUGCGCGUGGGUGCAGCCCACUCCAGUUAGUUUAGGAGUCGUGUAUGCUGUGUCUAUCUGCUGGGGCAGCCUCUCGCCCGAAGUGGGAGACGGAUUUGGGCCGUCAGGGCAGUUGCAGUAAUUGGGCUGAGCAGCGCUUUACUGAUCAAGCUUCCGUGUUGUUAAGGAAGAACUCAGGUCACCCUGACUGGAAAUCAGUUGACCCACGUCAGUGAAGCAGUGGUUCCUGAAUUUGAAGAAAAGAGGUGGUCUGCCCGGACAGAGGAGUGUGGCCCUUUCUUCAAGCCCUCUCUGCACAUCUCUUCCCAGCAUCCUCUAACCAAGAUGCGUCAGCUCAAAGGGAAGCCAAAGAAAGAGACCUCCAAGGACAAGAAGGAGCGGAAGCAGGCCAUGCAGGAGGCCCGGCAGCAGAUCACCACUGUGGUGCUGCCUACCUUGGCUGUGGUGGUGCUCCUCAUUGUAGUGUUUGUGUACGUGGCCACGCGCCCCAUCGUCACCGAGUGAGCACCGCCAUCCUGGCUUUCCUCUGCAGACAUGUCUGCAAUGCCGAGCUCUGGGCAGGAGUGCCCUGUCUCCUCUGAUCUUUGACUUGAUCAAUAUUUCUCUACUUUUGGGGGGGAAGGGAAAGGGAACAUUUAUCAGUGAAUGUGCCAUUUACCCGAUGGUCCACUUCAUGUGCCUUUCAGACUUCAAAGCAGUGCGUGUGUGC